AUUAAAUAAAGACCUCCUAAUAUUAUUUGAAACAGAUAACACUGAUUUAGUUUGAAUUUGAUUUUCAUCUAAUAUCUUUAUUUAAUAGAACUCCUAAACUUUUUCAUAAUAAUCUCCUGCAAAAGUCACCUGUCUGGGUGGCUUUUGU
rfam:Streptococcus sp. DORA_10 Q617_SPSC00198, whole genome shotgun sequence.